UAAAAGUGCUUGGGCAAGUCCCUUGCAUGUUGUUCCUAAGAAGGACGGGAAUAUUAGACCUUGUGGAGAUUAUAGACGUUUAAAUGCGAUUACCAAGCCUGAUCGAUAUCCAGUUCCCCGUCUUCAUGAUUUUACGUAUAUGUUAGAUAAUAAAAAGGUUUUCUCAAAGCUAGAUAUAAAUAGAGCCUAUUAUUGUGUGCCAGUUGCGGAAAAUGACAUUGAGAAAACUGCCGUCAUAACACCGUUUGGUUUAUUCGAAUUCGUGCGUAUGCCAUUUGGAUUAAGAAAUGCUGCACAAACUUUUCAACGUUUUAUGCAUCAUACUGUUUUACAAGACUUAGAUUUUCUUUUCAAUUACGUAGAUGACGUCAUCAUUGCAUCGGAAAAUGAAGAGCAGCAUAGAGAACAUUUACGAAAAGUUUUUGAACGUUUUAAUGAAUUUGGUAUAACGAUUAAUUUUUCAAAGUGUAGUUUUGGUAAAGAUAAAUUAGAGUUUUUGGGUUUUGAAGUCUCUACAGAAGGAAUUAAACCAUUAGAAGAUAAAUUAAAAGCUGUAAUUGACGGGUUAAAGCCAUCUAAUAGGAAAAAUAAGUCACCAAAUAAGAUUUUUGUGCAUAAAGACUUGUAUGAUUGUGAAUAUAUUUUUAUCCGUAAUGACGCAGUACGGAAACCGUUACAACCACCUUACGACGGACCAUAUCGCGUCAUAAGUAGAGAUAAUAAAGUAUUUUGUAUUCAGUUGCCCGACCGACAAGUUAAAGUUUCUAUAGAUCGUCUGAAACCAGCGUACAUGUUAAUAGAGGAUGAAUCGCAAUCUAAAGUAGUUGAUAAUAGUAAUAGGGAUACCGUUUGUCGAAAAGUUACGAAAAAAGUAACAAUUCAAACGGACGAACCCGAUAGUAAAGUUUAUACUACGCGAACUGGUCGAGUAAGCAAGAAGCCAUUGAAAUACCGAUAAAUUAUUUUAUUGUUAAAAUGUCAAUUUUGCAGAUUUAUUUAGGACAUUAGUUUCAAAUUGUGGUAUCGCGAUCUUUAAUUUCAUUUACGUUGAGACGAUACAUCAGUAUAGUGGACUAAAUUAGCAAAAUGGGCUCUAAUCAAACGAAAGAGAACGUCAUUGUAAACGAAAAUGUAUCUAAUGUGGCCCACAUGCAUAAUAAGCUAAAUAUUAUUGGCAUAGUGAUGAUAGUUAUUAUAAUAAUGUUAAUCAUGGUAUUUGCGUACGCACUGAAACGAAGAUUCAUUAGAGGCGUGAGAAAAUGGUUAAGAAAAGAAAUGGUAGCCAGUUCUGUAGCCUUACCUAGUAUUAAGGUCGAAACUGUGCAACCUCAACAUACAAUGAGUCCGCCGUCAACAGCCAAAGUUGUGCUGUGAUAAUAAUAUGCUGAUCAAAAACCCUCGUUCUCUCAAGUGAUAUUAUAUUUGUGUGAAUGUGUAGUGAAUGUUAAACAGUAGUGAAUGUAUAUUUUUUAUGGCGUCAUCAUGUCGGAUACUGAAGACUCUUGGUCAUUCGUACGAGUAGGGCAAGCGUGUAAUUUUAUUUUUUAAUAUGUAUAGCAGAGUAACCCGGCAUGAUAACUACCCUUAACGUAUAUCGUAUAUAAUAUAGAUUAUGUAUAUUUCAUGUUACCUAUUAUGUAUGUAAUCACAUUAAAUGUCAAGACGGACUCUCUAGAAGUGUUCCGCAACUGUAAUAGACGUAUAUGAGUAGUGUAUUACAUAGAUUUAAGGCAGUUACAGGACGUAUUGUGUUAUAUUUUGUUUUUCGAUCGUAGGACAUUCUGCAUAGUUUGUAUUGUUGGUACCGGCCGGCCACAAUGACUCCAAGAGAGGAGAACAGAGUAUAACACAAAGGUUAAGAACAUUUUGUACUUAGUUUAAGAUUUUUUUUUUUAGAAAGUUUUAUCCUUUUUGAAGAUAGAUUUUUUUCUACUCUGUAUUUGAUAUUUACUUUGUAAUAAUGAACAUAAGUUUGAACCUGCACUCUCAGGCACGAGAGGUGUAUCUUUUAAUCACUAAGCCAUUAGGUACAAAGCCAGUAGUACUGAGACAAACAUGCGCUUAUCGCACAACCCGUCAAGCAUCUUGUUUCAAAGUUGUUAUUGUAUAAAUGUAUACUGUAAGCAAAUUUUUGUCGAGACUGUAAUUUAAUAAUAUUGUUUGUGAACAUUGUAAGCACUUCUUGGAUUAUAUAGUAACUGGAUAAGAAUAUAUUUUUUU